rnacentral:tRNA from 1 species
GCGCCUAUAGCUCAGGUGGAUAGAGCACAGGAUUCCUAAUCCUGGGGCCGCAAGUUCGAGUCUUGCUAGGCGCA